rnacentral:lncRNA from 1 species
GGAUUGUUUCCUGACCUAUAUCCAUGACUGGAUAUAUUUCUAUGACAAAAUCCAAGCUGUAAUUCUUAUCUCGCCCUCAAGGUACCUGCAAGCCAGUGACCUCAAUCCUGACCUACGACAGUCACCCACUCCCCACCGGAAUGGAAAAGGUCAUUUAGUCACCUCAGCCAGCAGUCCUCAGGAGAAUCCAACAUUCCAGCUCCACACCGUGUUCUCAGAGUUGAUGUCUUCUCUCAAAGUAACAGAAGAAAUGAGUACUACAACCCCAAGACAAGCCCCGUUUUGCUUAUGAUCCUGAGAGAACAGAACCAACCAGAGCAAAAUUUCCUCAGCUUUCUGCUGUCAUGUACACAAGCAACUUGCAUCCCUUCAGUAUCCAGAAGCCAACCCUGCAGUUGCAAGCCCGUGUGGCUUUGCGCCUCCCCCUCCCUGGAGCCCUUGGCUCCUGAAGCUUGGCUUCCUGUGACACCAGGUUCCUCUCCUAGCAGAUCAUUCUCAUCAGCAUUCAGUUUUAGUUCUAUGCUUCUUUCUCCACUUCUGCUGAAGUAAGACCUCAGAAGUUGCCGCUCAUCCUCUUGAUUGACCAAGUCUGGAGUUGAUUACAGGACUUCAUUGCAGGCACAAUUACAGAGUGAUCCCCACUGAACCAUCAUCACCUACUUUACAUUGCAAGUUUCAUUCUUUAGUGGUGUUCUGUGAACAUUUCAUCUUUCUCAUCAUAAAAUGUGUUUUCACUUGAUGUGAUCACUUCUCAGAGUGACACCUGGACACGCAUUUUCAGAGGACAUGCCAAGUCCAAGAACUUCAGUUUACACACAUACGCUCAAGAUAACCUUUGCUGAUGUAGGAGCAUGCAAUGAUCUGUCUCAGUGAGGUCACAUAGAGAAGUCUGUGACCAGUUCCAUUGCCUUUCCUGGUAAUUUACUUUUGAAAGUGGUCUCUUUGUGUGGAAGUCCAUGAUCUGUGCUGUCACUGACUGUAAAGAGCAAGGAAGCCUCUUUUGCAGUGGUAUGGAUGACUGCAGACUCACAGUUGAGAAUGAGACAUAGAAGAUCUUGGAGACACCCCUCCUCGGCCCUCCCUCCCAAAAGAAACAGUCUAGACAGGAAGCCACUGAAGGGAACUCUUAAAAAUUGUGACGGGGAUCCUGAAGUGUAGCUCUUCACAGUUACGGCUUCUGGAGUGAGGGGGUGGGGGCGGGGUGGCAUGGAGGUGGGCUCUGUUUUCUUUGUGGGGCUGGCCACUAGGAGCUUGACCAUGCUGCAGUGAGUACAUGGGCCACACAAACCGGACUUGUUUCAUUUUUGUUGUUGUUAUUGAUGUUUUUCUUUCUCUUUUCUUUGGGCAAGGUGACAGGGUGAGGUGGGCUACUGCGGGGCUGGAAAGACUGGGAAGUUGAUGGGGUGCAUUAUUUGAAAUUCUCAAAUAAUCAAUAAAAAUGUUAUGCUG